GAAUGUGAGGUUUCUCUCAAAGCAUCUUGCAUCAGCCUGUGGAUGUAUGCCUACGGCCGGGCUCCUUCACCGGCAAAGUGGAAAAAGAAGGGUUUCACAACAAAUUCUUUUUUUGGGGAGAUUGGGGGGACAUAGUGGAUUAUAACUCUGUUUUCUUCUUUCCAAAUCUGUGUACUCCUGGAUGAACGGAUAUCUACAAGUGGUCUGGAGUUCCAUGCUCUAGAAAGUUCCAAUGCCCGUGGCUUGAAGCAAAGACAUUGCGACAGUUGAAGAGACACAGAAGCCAGCUGUCGUGGAGGAUCCUGUUCCUCGGAGAAUGUUCUGCACCCAUGGAUAGAGAGAGAGACAGCCGGCGAGAGAGGGAAUACA